UGGGGAAUAUUGGACAAUGGGCGCAAGCCUGAUCCAGCCAUGCCGCGUGUGUGAAGAAGGCCUUUUGGUUGUAAAGCACUUUAAGCGAGGAGGAGGCUACUUGGAUUAAUACUCUAGGAUAGUGGACGUUACUCGCAGAAUAAGCACCGGCUAACUCUGUGCCAGUAGCCGCGGUAAUACAGAGGGUGCGAGCGUUAAUCGGAUUUACUGGGCGUAAAGCGUGCGUAGGCGGCUUCUUAAGUCGGAUGUGAAAUCCCUGAGCUUAACUUAGGAAUUGCAUUCGAUACUGGGAAGCUAGAGUAUGGGAGAGGAUGGUAGAAUUCCAGGUGUAGCGGUGAAAUGCGUAGAGAUCUGGAGGAAUACCGAUGGCGAAGGCAGCCAUCUGGCCUAAUACUGACGCUGAGGUACGAAAGCAUGGGGAGCAAACAGG
rnacentral:rRNA from 1 species